AUAAAUAAUAAUUUUAUUAUUCAAAUUCGAUUAUAAAAUACCAUGAUCAAUAAUAAAUAAUUCGAUCGACCAUGAAAGACAAAAGAUAUAAGAUGGAAAAAAGCAAACAGUUGAAAAUAAAAAGAAUCCAAGUAGAAAAGAGUGGUGGGCUGGUGGCCUGAAUCACGAUGCCAGCUACUUCAUUUUCUUCCCUACUCCCAAUUUUUCUUUCAAGUUUUAACCUCUGCAGCUGCAGGCCUGUAGUCUGCAACGAGUAUGGGGAUUCCACCGGCACCUACAAAUUGGAAUUCCCCCUUCCCCUCCUCCCUCCCCAGCCCCCCAGAAAAUCUGGGAUUUGGCCUCACAUUGCUCUAUCAAUUGAGCAAAUUGCACUGGAAAAAUGAAGAACACCGACAUUCUUUCGCAAAUAUUCAAAUACAAAGCAAUCCCCCCCCUCCCCCCAAAAAAAAACCAAAUUACACACAUUCUUUCUGCUUUAAGCUCAAACAUUACAAUCCUGAAAACCCAUCACUGCAGCACACACCCCAUGCCGAAAAUCCAACGAAAAAAAAAAAAAAUUCCAGCAGCAACAGAGCACCAAAAUAUCGACUAAAUUUCAGCAAAAAAAAAAAGGCCAUUUUCAAUCCCAAAAGCCGACCCAGAAAAAUCUAUAAAUUCUAAAAGAAUAGAAUGGUGCGAUAGAGAAAAUUUGGGUUAGGGGUAAGUGGAGAGUUUGGUAAAUUGGGGGAUUUUCGAGGUGCCGCCAGCGACGACGGGAAGAGAAGAGACUGAGAAAGAGAGAGCUCGGUGAAAGAGAAGAGAGAAAGAAAGGAAAUCAAAGAAGACGCCGGUGGGCGGUGGCAGCUGGCGACUAACUCCCGCUGGGGUGGAAGGUGGCAGAGGGAAGAAAAAGUCGAAAAAGGGAGAGAAGAAGAGGAAGCCGGCGGCGACGGCCCGGUGGAGGAAAGGAGAGAAAAGGAUGAGAGGUGAGGCCGAAGGACCUGUACAGAAUAGACAAAGAGAACAAACUAAAAGGGCCAAAAAUUUAUUUGGUCGAAACGACGCCGUUUCGUUUACAAGGUGAGUAAAAGGCAAAAGAUGAAGUGGGCCUGUGGUUUCAUUUGGCCCAAUCCACCAAGCCCAACAUAAAAGGAAGGAAAAGAAAAAAACACAGAAAAAGGAGUCCAUUGAGUGAACGGAUAUGAAGUUUUGGCUAUUGAAGGUACCCUAAUUGGUAUCUCUCAAGAACUUUGGUACAAUUGCCAAGGCUGAUGAAGGCUCCAUGUUCUUUGGAAUACCUCACGUAAAUGAAAAGCUAACUCAAAAAACUCUUUAAAUAUGCUUUGCCAGUAAUUGAUAUCUUGCUGUCUAACCUAUAAUCUACACCUCUCUCUCCUGCCAACAUGUCAUUAAAGUGGAAAUCUUAGACCCUAACCUAUUAAUCUUAUCUUUUAGGUUAAAUAAUUCGUAAUAUUUAGCCUUUUAGUCUCAAUUAAUUAAAAUAUGAUAAAGUUAGGUGAACAGUUGUUCUAAAAGCUUGAACUUAUAAGAAAUGAUUCCACUAUUAUGUUUAAAUUCUAAGACAUUCACUUACGUGCAAAUCGAGUGAAUGAUUAAUAGGGUUACAUGUCAUUAAAGAGGAAACAUUAGAUUCUAACCUAGGGAUUUUAUAUUUUAGGUUAAAUACUCCAUAAUUUUCAACCCUAGCCCCGACUUAAAAUGAUAAAAUUAGGUAAACAAUGGUCUUAAAAGCUUGAAUUUGUAAGAAAUUAUUCAAUUAUUAUGUUUAAACUCUAACACGUCUACUCACGUGUGCAAGUCGGAUGAAUGAUUAAUAAGUUUGCAUGUGGAUCUAACUGUACAAAAGAAGGUACACCAGAACAUUUGGCUCAUUGAUUGGUAUAUUAUCCUUCUGUCUAAAGAGUAGGAUUCGAAUCUCCUCUCCUCUAAUUAUAAAUAAAAAAAAAUUGUAUAAAAAAAGGUACAAGCUAAAAAAAGAUUAAAGAAAUAUGCAUGGCACAACCCAAUGGACAAGCGACGCUUGAAAAAAAAAACUCUAAAAGGGAGAAGCGCGCUUUCUAAAAUUGAAAUUUGAAAACUCUAAUACCAUGAUAAAUUAGGAGAUUAAUUAUCUUAAAAUCUUAAUUAUUAUAUUUAAAUUUUAACACAAAGUCAAGGUACAAUAGUACAAGGUAUCAUUUACUCUCCGAAUCAUGCAUGACUGUAAAUCCUUUAUUAUUUUGUAUAUCUCAAUUAUUAAAGCUUAUCUGAUUCAUAUCUUGAAAGAAAGGACAUAAGAUUCUAAUAUCAAACCCAAUAGAGACGUAUCAUAAAAUAAUUGCUCAUAUAUGUACCAAAAAAAAAAGUGUUCAUGUGUUAAAUUAUUUUGUUUUAUGUCAACUUCUAACAUGAUCCCUACUAUCAUAUACAUAAACAAGAACGAAAGUUAUGAAAAUUUAUAAAUUUA